UAUAGAAUUGAUGUUCGAAAUCAUGGUUUCUGAGUGAACUUCAUUGGAGCGGAAAAUCAUGGAGGGAACAUCAAUACUAUUCUAAUGACAUUCCAUAGGAAUAAAAAUCCAAUGGGACCAAGUUCUUAGCAGUUCACACCUAGUCAGAAGUACAAAAUUGAGAACCAUGCCGAUCAGCAAGUGUUAGUUACAAUCUAAUGAGGAACAGGAUAUCUGAAUGGAAAAAUUGCAAGGUUUCCCACUUCCCAAGCUGUCCAAGUACUGGUAUCACAACAUAAGUGCCAAGAAGAGAUAUGAAGGCCAAGUUAAUAAAAAGUAGUUACUUUAUUGCAAUAACACAUUAAAAAUGAAUUAAUUUGAAAUAAAUAUAUUAAUAAAGCAUUGAAUGUUACUUGAACUACACAUCUGUAGAAAAGAGUGCGGUACAAGUUCAGGUUCAUCACAGGGGCCUUGGAACGGUUUUCAAAGUGGGGGCUGCAUGACCAUGCAAAAAAUCACAAUCGUACGUAAUUUUUACGUUU